rnacentral:rRNA from 1 species
UACGAAGGGGGCUAGCGUUGCUCGGAAUCACUGGGCGUAAAGCGCACGUAGGCGGAUCUUUAAGUCAGGGGUGAAAUCCCGGAGCUCAACUCCGGAACUGCCUUUGAUACUAGAGAUCUUGAGUCCGGGAGAGGUGAGUGGAACUGCGAGUGUAGGAGGUGAAAUUCGUAGAUAUUCGCAAGAACACCAGUGGCGAAGGCGGCUCACUGGCCCGGUACUGACGCUGAGGUGCGAAAGCGUGGGGAGCAAACAGG